rnacentral:rRNA from 1 species
CCUACGGGUGGCAGCAGUGAGGAAUAUUGGUCAAUGGACGCAAGUCUGAACCAGCCAUGCCGCGUGCAGGAAGACGGCUCUAUGAGUUGUAAACCGCUUUUGUAGGAGGGCAAACGCCGAUACGCGUCUCUGUCUGAAAGUAUCCUACGAAUAAGGAUCGGCUAACUCCGUGCCAGCAGCCGCGGUAAUACGGAGGAUUCAAGCGUUAUCCGGAUUUAUUGGGUUUAAAGGGUGCGUAGGCGGGCGUCUAAGUUAGAGGUGAAAGCCCGGGGCUCAACCUCGGCAUUGCCGCUGAUACUGGUCGGCUGGAGAGGAGGUGAGGUAGGCGGAAUGUAUGGUGUAGCGGUGAAAUGCUUAGAGA